rnacentral:tRNA from 1 species
GCCAGCAUUGGCGCGGCUUGCAGCGCCGUUCGGGGUCCGGAAUCAUAAUCCGCAGGUCCGGGGUUCGAGUCCCUGAAGCGCCACCA